rnacentral:rRNA from 1 species
GAGUUUGAUCCUGGCUCAGAUUGAACGCUGGCGGCAGGCCUAACACAUGCAAGUCGAGCGGAUGAAGGGAGCUUGCUCCUGGAUUCAGCGGCGGACGGGUGAGUAAUGCCUAGGAAUCUGCCUGGUAGUGGGGGAUAACGUCCGGAAACGGGCGCUAAUACCGCAUACGUCCUGAGGGAGAAAGUGGGGGAUCUUCGGACCUCACGCUAUCAGACGAGCCUAGGUCGGAUUAGCUAGUUGGUGGGGUAAAGGCCUACCAAGGCGACGAUCCGUAACUGGUCUGAGAGGAUGAUCAGUCACACUGGAACUGAGACACGGUCCAGACUCCUACGGGAGGCAGCAGUGGGGAAUAUUGGACAAUGGGCGAAAGCCUGAUCCAGCCAUGCCGCGUGUGUGAAGAAGGUCUUCGGAUUGUAAAGCACUUUAAGUUGGGAGGAAGGGCAGUAAGUUAAUACCUUGCUGUUUUGACGUUACCAACAGAAUAAGCACCGGCUAACUUCGUGCCAGCAGCGCCGU